rnacentral:rRNA from 1 species
CGGACGGGUGAGUAACACGUGGAUAACCUACCUAUAAGACUGGGAUAACUUCGGGAAACCGGAGCUAAUACCGGAUAAUAUUUUGAACCGUAUGGUUCAAAAGUGAAAGACGGUCUUGCUGUCACUUAUAGAUGGAUCCGCGCUGCAUUAGCUAGUUGGUAAGGUAACGGCUUACCAAGGCAACGAUGCAUAGCCGACCUGAGAGGGUGAUCGGCCACACUGGAACUGAGACACGGUCCAG